AAACAUGUCUUAUUGAAAAUAAUUUUAAGUCAAUCUGCCCAAUGAAUAAUUUAUUUUAAUGGCUGCAGUAUAACUAACUGUACAAAGGUAGCAUAAUCAAUUGAUUUUUAAAUGAAAUCUGGAAUGAAAGGAUUAAUGAAAUAUAUACUGUCUCAUAUUUAUUUUAUGAAUUUAAAAUUUUAAUAAAAAUGUUAAAAUUUAUUUAUGGGACGAUAAGACCCUAUAGAAUUUUAUAUUAAAUUAAUUUUAUAAUUAAAUAUAAAAUUUAAUUUAAUAUUUAAUUGGGAGAAUUAUUAAAUUUAAUAAAUUUUAAUUAAUAAAAACUUUAAUUAAAGAAAAUUUAUUGAUUUUUAAUUUAAAAUUAAUAGAUUAAAUUACCUUAGGGAUAACAGCGUAAUAUUUUUUUAUAGAUCUUAUAGAAAAAAAUGAUUGCGACCUCGAUGUUGAAUUAAGAUAAAUUUUAAAUGUAGAAGUUUAAUAAUUAAGUCUGUUCGACUUUUAAAAUCUUACAUGAUUUGAGUUCAAAUCGACGUAGU
rnacentral:rRNA from 1 species